CUACUCGCCUCUUGUAGGAGUACAUCCUCUACCAAUGAUUGAAGGCACAAUUCUUGCAUUAUCAAUAUUCUCUUAUUCCUCAAUCCACACCCUCUAUGGCUCUACCAAACAAGUUUAUAAAAUGUAAUUGUACCAAACUACUUAUAUAAACCCAUAUUAAAUUAUAAUCAGCCAAAACCAAACCAUAAUAUUUUAAUUUUAAUUUUCAAAAAAAUAUAGUAUUUGUGUGUUUGGUUUGUAAAUUAAGCCCGUAUUCUUCGCUAACUAAGUGUCAAGAAAUAAAAACCAAAACCAUUAUUUUGAACAACUCAAAAAGCACUCCUCCCUUUUUCUUCUCUGGUGCUGACAGUCUAGCAUACCAUACCCCCUUCUUCUACGUAAUUAUACCACUAAUCACUUAAUUAGUACUACUAAUUACAUUAUUUAUUUCCUUAUUUAUCAUCAACCAUUCUCUAUUUCCUUUUUUCUAGCUUAAAAAUUUCCAUUUUCAUCUUACUUUUACCAACAAAACUCUCAAACUCUAACCAUUACUUCUCCACUUCCCAAAGUUCUCAUCUUUUUUCUUUUUCUCUGAUUCAUAACCCAUUAAAAAUCCAAUCUUUUUCAUCCUUUUUUCACAAAAAUCAGAGGUUUUCUGGGCAGAAGAAUAAAGAUUGCAACUUUCUUAAUCUUUUUUGCAGAUUAAUUAAGGAGUUAAUUAAUCAUAAUCCCAGAAUGUAAUUAAGAUCAGAAGCAAUGUGGGCAGAUUCUAAUAUAAACUGGAGAUCAUGCAACCAAAUUCGUCGAUAUCCGAGCUUUCGUGUGGGAGCUCCACCAAAAAUGCAGGGUAGCAACCAAUUGGUGCAAGGUUAAGCACCCAAAAUGUUCUUCCUCCUAUACCAUAUACUUCCUGUUAUUUUUAUUUCAUCAACUUCUGAAUUGUUAGUAAAUGAACUUCAGAAUUGUUAAAAGGAAAAAAAAUGUGUAAAAGGGUAGACCUUGAUGGCAGAAGCAAUCUGGGAAAUCACUUGAGGUAAGUACUGCUUCACUCCACUGAUACCAAUGUAUGCUAAAUUUCCAGUAAAGUCAUUUUGGCCAAUGUAGAA